rnacentral:rRNA from 1 species
UUAAAUGUAAAAUUUUUAUUUAAUUAUUAUUAGUUAUGGUCUUUAAAAUUAAAAAUUUUGGCGGUAUUUUAGUCUUUCUAGAGGAACCUGUUCUUUAAAUGAUAAUCCACGAUUUUAUUAACUUUUAUUAUUAGUUUGUAAAUUGUUGUAAUUAAAUAUUUUUUUAGAAUUAAAAUAUUUAAAAUUUUUAUAAAAAAAUUAAUCAGAUCAAGGUGCAGUUUAUAUAGAAGUAGAAAUGGGUUACAAUAAAAUUAUUUUUGGAUUUUAAAUAUUAAUAUUUAAAUUAAAUUGGAUUUAAAUGUAAUAUUAAUAAAAAAGUUAAUAUGAUUUUGGCUUUAAGAUAGGU